rnacentral:rRNA from 1 species
CUACGGGUUGCAGCAGUGAGGAAUAUUGGGCAAUGGGCGAAAGCCUGACCCAGCCAUGCCGCGUGAAGGAUGACUGCCCUAUGGGUUGUAAACUUCUUUUGUAAGGGAAGAAUGAUUCCUACGUGUAGGAAUGUGACGGUACCUUAUGAAUAAGCACCGGCUAACUCCGUGCCAGCAGCCGCGGUAAUACGGAGGGUGCAAGCGUUAUCCGGAUUUAUUGGGUUUAAAGGGUGCGUAGGCGGAAUUUUAAGUCAGUGGUGAAAUCCUGCAGCUCAACUGUAGAACUGCCAUUGAUACUGAUCUUCUUGAAUUUAGUUGAGGUGGGCGGAACGUGUAAUGUAGCGGUGAAAUGCUUAGAUAUUACACAGAACACCGAUUGCGAAGGCAGCUCACUAAACUAACAUUGACGCUGAGGCACGAAAGCGUGGGUAGCGAACAGGAUUAGAUACCCCUGUAGUC